AAGGAGAAAAACAAAACAGAACAAACAUCAGCUUCUGUUUAUUCUUACUCCCCAGUUUCUCAUUCUGGGCAGAGGAGUCAUACACGCUGCAAGCCGAUGGCCUGAGUGAAGUGGGGUGAUAGAAUGAACACCUGGUCAUGAAGCUUAUUUAGAUGAAGUGUUUACUCACCUCCUCUCCACCUUUCCUGGAAUAGCCACAUUUAAUAGUGCAAGAUCACAAAGUCUGAGAAGAAAAUCAUAUGAGAACUUCAGCCUGAAUCAUGUCACUCCAGGUAAUCUGGAUACUAAGAACCAAGCAAAAUGGACUGAAUAAAAGCAGCCUGAAGUUCAUCGGGUUUAUUUUGCCUCUGCCUGCUCUCAGAGAGAUGUGAAUUUGCAGUGACUGACUGCAGUUUCGUAUUAAUGGAACAGACUGGAGACAGAAAUCAUCCUCAGGCCUUAAUCCCAGGGAAAUCAGAAAAACAACUUCUUCUAAAGCUAUUGACAGGGUAGCAGAUGUGAAGGAUUCCUAUAGUAUCAACUGCACGGGAGGAGUUCUCAGUCUGCAUAGAGGAG